rnacentral:tRNA from 1 species
ACCUGGGUGGCUCAAUCGGUUGAGCAUCUGACUUUGGUUCAGGUCACGAUCUCACGGUUCGUGGGUUCGAGCCCCACGUCAGGCU